rnacentral:rRNA from 1 species
CUGACGACCGGCGCACGGGUGCGCAACGCGUAUACAAUCUACCUUAUGCUGAGGGAUAGCCCAGAGAAAUUUGGAUUAAGACCUCAUGGUAUCGAGAGACGGCAUCGUUUUUUGAUUAAAGGUUACGGCAUAAGAUGAGUAUGCGUCCCAUUAGCUAGUUGGUGUGGUAACGGCACACCAAGGCUACGAUGGGUAGGGGUCCUGAGAGGGAGAUCCCCCACACUGGUACUGAGACACGGACCAGACUCCUACGGGAGGCAGCAGUGAGGAAUAUUGGACAAUGGACGGAAGUCUGAUCCAGCCAUGCCGCGUGCAGGAAGACGGUCCUAUGGAUUGUAAACUGCUUUUAUACGGGAAGAAUAAGGGCUACGUGUAGCCCGGCGACGGUACCGUAAGAAUAAGGAUCGGCUAACUCCGUGCCAGCAGCCGCGGUAAUACGGAGGAUCCAAGCGUUAUCCGGA